rnacentral:rRNA from 1 species
CGCCAGACUCCUACGGGAGGCAGCAGUGGGGAAUAUUGCACAAUGGGGGAAACCCUGAUGCAGCAACGCCGCGUGAGUGAAGAAGUAUUUCGGUAUGUAAAGCUCUAUCAGCAGGGAAGAGAAUGACGGUACCUGAAGAAGAAGCCCCGGCUAACUACGUGCCAGCAGCCGCGGUAAUACGUAGGGGGCAAGCGUUAUCCGGAUUUACUGGGUGUAAAGGGGGCGCAGACGGCGAUGCAAGCCAGGAGUGAAAGCCCGGGGCCCAACCCCGGGACUGCUCUUGGAACUGCGUGGCUGGAGUGCAGGAGGGGCAGGCGGAAUUCCUGGUGUAGCGGUGAAAUGCGUAGAUAUCAGGAGGAACACCGGUGGCGAAGGCGGCCUGCUGGACUGCAACUGACGUUGAGGCCCGAAAGCGUGGGGAGCAAACAGGAUUAGAUACCCUUGUAC